CGGAUUGCAGCCUGCAACUCGGCUGCAUGAAGCUGGAAUCGCUAGUAAUCGCAGAUCAGAAUGCUGCGGUGAAUACGUUCCCGGGUCUUGUACACACCGCCCGUCACACCAUGGGAGUUGGAAAUGCCCGAAGUCAGUGACCGAACCGAAAGGAAGGAGCUGCCGAAGGUGGAGCCGAUGACUGGGGUGAAGUCGUAACAAGGUAGC
rnacentral:rRNA from 1 species